rnacentral:rRNA from 1 species
GGAAUUUUCGGCAAUGGGCGCAAGCCUGACCGAGCAACGCCGCGUGAAGGAUGAAGGUCUUCGGAUCGUAAACAUCUGUUGUAAAGGAAGAAUGUUAUAUUGAGGAAAUGCUAUAUAAGUGACGGUACUUUACUAGAAAGUCACGGCUUACUACGUGCCAGCAGCCGCGGUAAUACGUAGGUCCCGAGCGUUGUCCGGAUUUAUUGGGCGUAAAGCGAGCGCAGGCGGUUUAAUAAGUCUGAAGUUAAAGGCAGUGGCUUAACCAUUGUUCGCUUUGGAAACUGUUAGACUUGAGUGCAGAAGGGGAGAGUGGAAUUCCAUGUGUAGCGGUGAAAUGCGUAGAUAUAUGGAGGAACACCGGUGGCGAAAGCGGCUCUCUGGUCUGUAACUGACGCUGAGGCUCGAAAGCGUGGGGAGCAAACA